rnacentral:rRNA from 1 species
GACGAACGCUGGCGGCGUGCCUAAUACAUGCAAGUAGAACGCUGAAGGAGGAGCUUGCUUCUCCGGAUGAGUUGCGAACGGGUGAGUAACGCGUAGGUAACCUGCCUGGUAGCGGGGGAUAACUAUUGGAAACGAUAGCUAAUACCGCAUAAGAGUAGAUGUCGCAUGACAUUUGCUUAAAAGGUGCAACUGCACCACUACCAGAUGGACCUGCGUUGUAUUAGCUAGUUGGUGAGGUAACGGCUCACCAAGGCAACGAUACAUAGCCGACCUGAGAGGGUGAUCGGCCACACUGGGACUGAGACACGGCCCAGACUCCUACGGGAGGCAGCAGUAGGGAAUCUUCGGCAAUGGACGGAAGUCUGACCGAGCAACGCCGCGUGAGUGAAGAAGGUUUUCGGAUCGUAAAGCUCUGUUGUAAGAGAAGAACGAGUGUGAGAGUGGAAAGUUCACACUGUGACGGUAUCUGGCCAGAAAGGGACGGCUAACUACGUG